rnacentral:rRNA from 1 species
CCCGGCACAAGCGGUGGAGCAUGUGGUUUAAUUCGACGCAACGCGAAGAACCUUACCAGGUCUUGACAUCCCUUGACAGCCUCAGAGAUGAGGUGUUCUAGCUUCGGUUAGACAAGGAGACAGGUGGUGCAUGGUUGUCGUCAGCUCGUGUCGUGAGAUGUUGGGUUAAGUCCCGCAACGAGCGCAACCCCUGCAUUCAGUUGCCAACGGUAAGGCCGGGCACUCUGGAUGGACUGCCGGCGACAAGCCGGAGGAAGGUGGGAUGACGUCAAGUCAUCAUGGCCCUUAUGUCCAGGGCGACACACGUGCUACAAUGGCCGGCACAGCGGGAAGCGAGGGGGCGACCUUGAGCGGAUCCCUCAAAGCCGGUCUCAGUUCGGAUUGCAGUCUGCAACUCGACUGCAUGAAGUUGGAAUCGCUAGUAAUCGUGGAUCAGCCAAGCCGCGGUGAAUACGUUCCCGGGCCUU